GGGAUUUAAAGCCUUUCAGCUUAAGGUAUUAAUAAAUGUUGACAUAAACAGAAACGACUACAUGAAAGCGCCAACGUAACUCGACAAUAGGUGUCUGAAAUCAAUCUUCUGCUUCAGCAGCCAGCGGCUGUGUCCACACAGGCAGUGGCGACCAUAGACGAUUCAGUGACAUUAAGCGACUUCAAUUGACGAUGGCUAAAGUAACAGCUGGCGACGUGGAAAGAGCAGCUCCCAAAGUUAGAUUUUAAAAGUCGUCAAGGAGACCAACUGAUGUUACUCACCCACUGAGCACGACUAUGAAGUCCAUGAUGUUCCAGCCAUUCCUUAGAUAGGAGCCUUUAUGGAAAACAAAACCAAGUGCCACCAGCUUGAUCCCAG